rnacentral:lncRNA from 1 species
CCGAUCUCAAGAUCGAAGGAGAGCCAACUGUUUACAGGAAAGGAAGUUGAAAGAGGCAUGGUACGAGAGGAAAGCCUCACGGCCAAUUCAGCUAAGUGUCAAAGACCGUUGACAGCUACUGCUAGUCGCAAACCUUCUCUUCCGAAAGAACCUAUUUGCCCACUGACUUUCAGCUCUGUAAAAGAACCCAUCCUCUUAUCAUUUCCUCUUCCUAUUUCUUAUUUCUUAGAAUGAAUAUUUCUUGAUGCACCUAUGUAUGCUAUGGAUUCAGAAAAGAAAGGAUGAAGAGAAUCUGCGAAUGAAAGUGAAAGAAGAAUUUACUCAUUAACGAGAAUUCACUGAUUAAGAAGAAUCCACAGUCCGAAGGCUCAAUGUAAUAUGAUUUUCCGCUUUGUUUUUCCGAAGGACCAAGCUUUUUUUACCGCUCGCAAGUCAAAUUCUCUAAUGGAUAGGCCUCAGCUUGAUUUCUGUUAGAAGGUGGGCUUUCUUCUUCUCAAAUACUUUGAGCCUCGGACUAUUUCUCAAUCUUAGACCGAUAAAAGAUCUUUUUUGACUGAUUUUUUCUCUUUGUCUUUCUGCCUCUUUCUCUCCAACUCACUCGAGCCGCUUCGGUCCUCUCCCUCUAUCGGCGGCGAGCCGCUUUCGCUCCUCUCCUUACAGUCGAGUUCCUUCUAUCCUCUGGUCGAGUGGCUACGCUCCUCUCACCCAGCGCAGUGAUAGUACGGACUUUCUUUCUGGUUUGUGACUCUUUUCAAGCAAUAAGAAGAAUUACCGCUACGUGGCUUUCUUUGUGGCUUUUUCUUACUCCAGACAAGAUGGGUACAGUGGCUCGACUUUAUAUUAACUAUCGUCUUCUCAAAUUCCCUAAUGGAUAGUCCUUCGGACCUGUCUUAUGGAUCCUUUGAUUCUUGUUCACUAAGAGUUCUUUCUUCAAGAGUCAGAUCGGUGCCAUGAGGGAAUGCUAAUUGAAUAGAGAUUCGGCUUAGUAAGCCUUUCCUCGUUCGCUCCUCGUACCUUUACAUCUUCCUAUGAUUGGUUAUGCGAGCAGGCCCCUUCCUGUUUACUAAGUGGUCGCCUUGUCUUAUACUUUGAGACUUUGUUGACUCUCUUUGAAUGAGUUCUAAGGUUGGCGGGAGCUCUUCCCUCCCCUUACCUGAUUUUUCAAGAAAGGGCUGAAAGAAAAGAAAUCUCUCGAAAGAAAGAAGAGGGUACCGUGGAAGAUGUAAAGACAAUAAGCAAGGGGCACUAGCUGGUAGCGGGCUCUUAAGGGUUACCAUCAAAAAUCACUAUCCUCCACUCCUAUUGAAGACAGAAAACCUGCCCGAUUGGGAGAGGGAUGAAAUAGCUCGACCGUAGGGAGAGGGAUGAAAUAGCUCGACCGUAGGGAGAGGGAUUCUUCUUUCUUCUUUAUAGUAGGUUUGUUUAGAAGAAGACUCCCAGAAAGAGAAAGCCUAGCGAAGGGAAGCGACUGGAAAGGAGUGCAGAGUGCAAGUGCAGGAAAUAGCUUUCUUUGAAAGGAUGGGAAAUCGAGGUAGUCCUUUGCUUAAGACAAUGGUUGAGUACAAAGACGAAUACCUUCUCCUCUUACCGGUAAGCAUCUCUUUUCUUAAUUGGCCUAUAACCACCCCUUGUUCAUUGAGGCGGGAGAGAAAGCACUCCACCUCUUCGGGAGAGAGAGCACCAAAAGCGAAAGCGGCUCGACUUAUAGGAGAACAAGCGAAAGCGGCAGUUCGUCUUCUUGAAAAAGGAGAAUUGGUAAGCUCUUUCAUUCGAUCGUCACACCAGUCCGGAGUCAAAUAUUAGUGGAAAACAAAGGUCCAG